AAUUAUUUAGGCUCAAAAGAGUUUUGUUGGUUUAGGAAAUGAAUUAGAAGACAAUGGAUGUAAUUUGGCUAAGGAUUCAAAAGCCGAACUAACACAAUAGUAGUGUGUUAACCCGUAACUUAUGAGAAUGCUUAGGUUGGUAAGGUGUCAAUGGAAGGUUUGUUAAGUGGAUAGAAACUUCGACCCGCUAUCAAAAAUGAUAGGAACCUCAGUACGAAUCGAACGCCACACUUUCGGGAUUAAAGUGAUAAGUUUGGAUAGAAAGACGGGUUGACGCCACAAGGGUUACUUGAUAAGUCAGACGAGUCUUUGGAGAACAAUGAGAGUUGAAAACAAACUCACAAAGUAAUCAGAUUUCAUAUAAAGUUUAAAAGUAUAU
rnacentral:lncRNA from 1 species